AUGCCAUGAUGUGGGUAUUUCCUUAGAAACUCUUUAAAUCUUUCCCAUGUGUCAUACAAUGAUUCCCUUUCUGUCUGGUAGAAAUUAUAAAUUUCUCCUCUCAACUU